rnacentral:rRNA from 1 species
UACGUAGGCAGCAAGCGUUGUUCGGAAUUACUGGGCAUAAAGGGCGCGUAGGCGGCCUGCUAAGUCGAACGUGAAAUCCCCGAGCUCAACUCGGGAACUGCGUCCGAUACUGGCAGGCUUGAAUCCGGGAGAGGGAUGCGGAAUUCCAGGUGUAGCGGUGAAAUGCGUAGAUAUCUGGAGGAACACCGGUGGCGAAGGCGGCAUCCUGGACCGGCAUUGACGCUGAGGCGCGAAAGCCAGGGGAGCAAACGGG